rfam:Chlorocebus sabaeus isolate 1994-021 chromosome 15, whole genome shotgun sequence.
UUGUAAUGAUGUGAAUCUCUCACUGAAUUCAGUGCAAAUCCGUGAACUUUUUAACCCUGAGCAAU